rnacentral:rRNA from 1 species
UACGUAGGGUGCAAGCGUUGUCCGGAAUUAUUGGGCGUAAAGAGCUCGUAGGCGGUCUGUUGCGUCGGCUGUGAAAACCCGGGGCUCAACUCCGGGCCUGCAGCCGAUACGGGCAGACUAGAGUUCGGCAGGGGAGACUGGAAUUCCUGGUGUAGCGGUGAAAUGCGCAGAUAUCAGGAGGAACACCGGUGGCGAAGGCGGGUCUCUGGGCCGAUACUGACGCUGAGGAGCGAAAAGCGUGGGGGAGCGAACAGG